UACGAGGGGGGCGAGCGUUGUUCGGAAUUAUUGGGCGUAAAGGGUGCGUAGGCGGUUCCGCAAGUCCUGUGUGAAAUCUUCGGGCUCAACUCGAAGUCUGCACGGGAAACUGCGGGGCUUGAGUGUGGGAGAGGUGAGUGGAAUUCCCGGUGUAGCGGUGAAAUGCGUAGAGAUCGGGAGGAACACCAGUGGCGAAGGCGGCGAUCUGGGAAGAUACU
rnacentral:rRNA from 1 species